UCCAGUCAUUCGUAAAGAGGCCUCUACAC
rnacentral:piRNA from 1 species